AGCAGCGUGGCUAAGUGGAUGGAGCCUGUGCUUCACAGUCAGAGGUCAUGGGUUCAACUCCCAUCUCUGCCA
rnacentral:tRNA from 1 species